AUUGAACGCUGGCGGCAUGCCUUACACAUGCAAGUCGAACGGCAGCACGGGGCAACCUGGUGGCGAGUGGCGAACGGGUGAGUAAUGCAUCGGAACGUACCUUUCAGUGGGGGAUAACGUAGCGAAAGUUACGCUAAUACCGCAUAUUCUGUGAGCAGGAAAGCAGGGGAUCGCAAGACCUUGCGCUGAUUGAGCGGCCGAUGUCAGAUUAGCUAGUUGGUGAGGUAAAGGCUCACCAAGGCGACGAUCUGUAGCGGGUCUGAGAGGAUGAUCCGGCCAACUGGAACUGGGACACGGUCCAGACUCCUACGGGAGGCAGCAGUGGGGAAUUUUGGACAAUGGGGGCAACCCUGAUCCAGCCAUGCCGCGUGAGUGAAGAAGGCCUUCGGGUUGUAAAGCUCUUUCGGCCGGGAAGAAAUCGCACGGGCUAAUACCCUGUGUGGAUGACGGUACCGGAAUAAGAAGCACCGGCUAACUACGUGCCAGCCGCCGCCGUAA
rnacentral:rRNA from 1 species